GUAUAUGUCACGUUCACCUUUUCACUGGUCAUCAGUCAUCUGUAAAAAAAGACACAGCUGACGGGGUGUAUGACACGUUCACCUUUUCACCGGGCAUCAGUCCUCUGUAAAAAAGACACAGCUAACGGGGGUAUACGUCACGUUGACCUUUUCACCGGGCA